UUUUAAUUCGUUAUGAAGCUUGUAUAGCAUUAGCCUUUUAAGCUAAAGACGGGGCUCUAUGCCCCCAUAACGAA
rnacentral:tRNA from 1 species